rnacentral:rRNA from 1 species
GACAGAGGGUGCAAACGUUGUUCGGAAUUACUGGGCGUAAAGCGAGUGUAGGCGGUUUGGUAAGUCGGAUGUGAAAGCCCCGGGCUCAACCCAGGAACUGCGUCCGAUACUGGUUGGCUUGAAUCCGGGAGAGGGACGUGGAAUUCCAGGUGUAGCGGUGAAAUGCGUAGAUAUCUGGAGGAACACCGGUGGCGAAGGCGACGUCCUGGACCGGCAUUGACGCUGAGGCGCGAAAGCCAGGGGAGCAAGCGGG